rnacentral:rRNA from 1 species
UACGGGGGGGGGCAAGCGUUGUUCGGAAUUACUGGGCGUAAAGGGCUCGUAGGCGGCCAACUAAGUCAGACGUGAAAUCCCCAGGCUCAACCUGGGAACUGCGUCUGAUACUGGAUGGCUUGAAUCCGGGAGAGGGAUGCAGAAUUCCAGGUGUAGCGGUGAAAUGCGUAGAUAUCAGGAGGAACACCGAUGGCGAAGGCAGGUCUCGUGGGCAUUAACUGACGCUGAGGAGCGGAAAGCAUGGGGAGCGAACAGG